CCUGGCAUGCUUCGUGCUAAGUUGCGUGGCUGUCUUGGCGCAUUUAGUCUUUGCUCGUGCUCUUGGAUGCGGAAUGUUUGUGCGCGGGCAUGGGGCCUCGGCCUUGAUCCGCCCGAGCUUUUACGCAAAUGUCCUUUGACACGAAUGACAGCUACUCCCGUCUCGAUUCUGCCAUGCGGGUCGUGCGGGAGUUGACGUCACCAAGGAAUGCUACCUGGUUGAUCCUGCCAGUAGUCAUAUGCUUGUCUCAAAGAUUAAGCCAUGCAU
rnacentral:misc_RNA from 1 species